rnacentral:rRNA from 1 species
AACUGACUCUCGACAACGGAUAUCUCGGCUCUCGCAUCGAUGAAGAACGUAGCGAAAUGCGAUACUUGGUGUGAAUUGCAGAAUCCCGUGAACCAUCGAGUCUUUGAACGCAAGUUGCGCCCGAAGCCAUUAGGCUGAGGGCACGUCUGCCUGGGUGUCACGC